AAAUAUAGAUACACUUUCUUAUAACCCGACGACACUUCAAUUCAUCAGUGGAAUUAAAGUCAUUAACAAUCCGUUAGGUUUUCAAGAACUGUGGUUCGUUUCAGACAGAUUCCAAAAAUUCUAUACAAGUACACUGUCGCUAAACGAAACCAAUUUCAGAAUACAUACAGUACGUGUUGACGACGUAUUAAGAGGAAGUAAAUGUAAAUCGUCUAGAUUUCAGGGAAUUGAAGGCUAGAAUAAGCUCCAUGAAUAACGAAUAACUGUUUGCUAACUAAUCGUUGUCAUACACCAAAGAUACCCCCAUAUAAGUACCAUUUUUAACGUGUCAGCACCCACAUAUCAAUAAUUAAUUCAAUGUAACUAAUUUAAUUUUUGGUUCUUUAUUAAAGUCUCCUCCUCCUUUUUGUUUGGUACAUGAACAAUGAGAAUAAAAUCUUAAAAUAGAUGAGUUAUUAAUAUCUAAAAUUUUUUCACAAUUCACGUACAUAUAUGGUGGUAUCUCAUGAAAAUUAAUAAAUUGUAAGAUCAGUUGUAUAUGUAAAACUUAAUGAAAAAUAAAUUAAAAAAAAAUAACAA